GUGUUUUUCCCUCCACAUAGUGUUGUUCAGCGGUUUUCUGCAUCAUAAUUACAGACUCAAAUUUCAGAAUAGGAGGAAAUACCAAGCGCUGUGGAUUCUGGAGAUGAGUUUCAUGAUGGUGCAGCAAAAGCUCAGUCUCAAAGCUGCUGGAAAUGCAACAUUAAACAGUUCCAAUCAGCAUUUCCAUAAGGAAACACCCUGCGUGAUGAUGAAAGACGUGAUGAAAUAUGCAGAAAUGUGUUCUCUGAAAUAGACCACUUUAAACAAAAGAGCUGGAACAUGACCCUUGUCCAGAGACAGAGCCACAGGAGCUGGAGAGACUAACAUCUGUGAUAUUAACACUUCAUUUCAAUGCUCCACUUUAGACAUUAUCCCACAGUAACUUUGCAGUCAGUCGAGUAUUAGCAGAUCUGCUUAAUAUCUGACACGUCAUGCUCCACAAUAGAUCUACAAGUGACUUCGCAACUACGUCAGCUCACUAAUCCGAACCCUGCUAAUACACUAAUGAGAGUUAGUUGACAUGUAGAUGCAAAGUUACUUGUAGUGUCACCAGCCCACAAAGCCAUUACAUAUUUAAAACAGUAAUAUCAUACUAAACCUAAAAUAAUCUUGGUAUUUGGUGACUUAAUCUUCCAUAUUUGGUGGGGAGUUUCAAAAUAAAUUACGGCUGCUCUGUGAAUUAUUUUGAAAAUCACUCACUAAAUAUGGAAACUACAUUUGUUCUUCUCAAUUUGCAACAUGAAUAUUUUCAAACUCCUAAGGCAUUCAGACCUUUAUUUUGAAAUAGUGAUGAACAUGAAA